rnacentral:lncRNA from 1 species
UAUGAGUGAAUUUUAGCGUUUUCGGAAAUUUCUCUGUCGGAGGAGUUCCCUCUGUGGUGCGCUUCUCUGGAGCUCUUUCGGUGGGUGUUCUUUGCCAGCAGAUCUCUGAGAUCCCCGUGUUUGCGUUUACGUUGCUUGUUUUUCUGAUUGAUUCUGACCUCUUUACAUUUUGAUGUCCGAUUUUCUUACUAUUGAUUCCGCUGGUCCUCCCCCGCCUCCUUCAUCCUCUUCACCUCCUUCAUCCUCUCCUCCAAAAACUUGGGCCUCCCUUGUUUCUUGAUCGGGUUUGAAGUUCAUUGACCUCACGGAUGAAAAUUUCAUUGACGGAGCAUUGAAAAUUCCGAAGAAAGCGCUGGAUCUUGGAUUGCAGCGGAUGAAGGCCGCUCUUGUGGCUCAAUUCCUGGGUGCAAUCCACCGAUGAGGGUUUUUUCAUCCAUGGCUAACCGAUUGUGGGGUUAUGAAGGUAAUUUCAGAUUUCAAAACUUUCAGAAGGUUUUUUCGUCAUAAAGUUUCCGUAUGUUAAUCUAUGCGAGUGGGUAAUUGCUCGCCCUAGGCACAUACAUCAUUCUACUCUCUUGUUGAGAAGGUGGGAAAAAGGUAUUCAACCAGUUGAUUUGUCUCCUCAGGAGAAACCACUUUGGAUUACACUCAAAUCUAUUCCUCUUCAGCUUCUCUAUAAUGAAGGUUUAGAAUGGAUGUUAGUAGGAUUGGUCAUAUAGUGGGUGGUUAUGUUCGUGAAGGACUGGAUGUUAAAGUUUGUGUGUUGCUUAGUGGUGAUUGUCCUGAAUUUGUAUAGGUCAUUUUGGAGGAUGAAGAAUAUGUUCAGAUUUCAAUUAUAAGCUCCAAAACUAGAGAGUAUGAGAAGCCUGCUCCCCAAUGGAGAAGGAAACCUGAGAAGUUGGUACAGGCUGUCUCUCCCUAGAAAGGAAAAAAGGUAGAUGGAAGCCAGCAUCAUACUGUCAAUGCCAAUAGUUCUAACACAGAUGAUUUGUCCAUUGAUUUACUGUCUCAUCCGAAUACUUUUGAUGUAUUGGAUGCUGUUAUUUAUAUUGCCACCGAUGAUUGAAAUGAAGUUAAGAUAAUAUAGGAGAUUUUUGAGAAUGAAGAGCAAUCUCAGACAAUUUUGCUUGAGGUUGCUGAUGCAAUACUAAGUCUACCUGAAGUUAAUGUUAAAGAAGCCGAUAAUAAUGUUAGUGCGAUUAUUCCACCGGGGCCUCUAAAUGCAGAGCAGAUAAGUAGUGACGGG